rnacentral:rRNA from 1 species
CUUCCAUCUGGAGAAAUCUGGAGACAGGUGCUGCAUGGCUGUCGUCAGCUCGUGUCGUGAGAUGUUGGGUUAAGUCCCGCAACGAGCGCAACCCUUGCCUUUAGUUGCCAGCAGUUCGGCUGGGCACUCUAAAGGGACUGCCGGUGUUAAACCGGAGGAAGGUGGGGAUGACGUCAAGUCCCCAUGGCCUCUAUGACCAGGGCUACACACGUACUACAAUGGCCGAUACAAAGGGCAGCGACACUGCGAGGUGAAGCCAAUCCCGUAAAAUCGGUCUCAGUCCGGAUUGGAGUCUGCAACUCGACUCCAUGAAGUUGGAAUCGCUAGUAAUCGUGGAUCAGCAUGCCACGGUGAAUACGUUCCCGGGCCUU